AGGGUGUAAACGCUGCAGACUUGGUGUUGGAAAUCCUUCGAGGGUAUUCAGUGCCGGAGAGAAGUUGUUAAGUCUGCUACUUGGGAGUACGUCCGCAAGGAUGAAACUUAAAGGAAUUGGCGGGGGAGCACCGCAACGGGAGGAGCGUGCGGUUUAAUUGGAUUUCAACACCGGAAAACUCACCAGGGAGACUGUUACAUGAAACCCAGACUAAUGAUCUUGGUUGAUUUUCAGAGAGGUGGUGCAUGGCGUCAGUGACU
rnacentral:rRNA from 1 species